CUAGGCUGAUAGAGCACCUUCAACAUGGCUAGGCUGAUAGAGCACCUUCAACAUGGCUAGGCUGAUAGAGCACCUUCAACAUGGCUAGGCUGAUAGAGCACCUUCAAACAUGGCUAGGCUGAUAUAACAUAAUUAGAUUACCAAAGUUAAUGAUGCCUUCUUGAACUAUGUGUUUAAACUAUAGCAAUACAGUAGGAUGUUCUUACUAGUAGAAGUCUUGAAUGAAUGAACAAUCCAUGAGUAAUCCACGUGGAGAUUGAAGCUGUGUUUUAUAGUUGUAAGUGGAAAUGUUGAUAUUUGGUUAUGAACUCAGACAGCCACGUAGGUUGCUCCAGAGGGUAGUGGAUAUGACAGACAGCCAAGUAGGUUGCUCAGAAGGUAGUGGAUAUGACAGACAGCCACGUAGGUUGCUCAGAGGGUAGUGGAUAUGACAGACAGCCACGUAGGUUGCUCAGGGUAGUCCAGAUUUAUGUUUGUUAUGUGACGGCCUUACAUGAGAAUGACUGACCAGGGCUGCAAAAUUCAGCCAACUUUCUCGAAUUUCCCACAUAUUCCAUAAAUCAGUGUUGGAAGAUUCACGGAAUCAAGCGGGAAUAAGCAAGAAAUCCAACAUUCCAACCAGGAAUUCUGGAAAUCCAAUUAUUAAAAAAACAUUUUUAAGUUACCAGAGUUUUUCAAACCUGUGAAUGUGGUUUAGAAUCUCAGGGUUUUUAACCCCUACAAGAUGAGUGUUUAACAUAUUGUAUAUGAUGGUACAAGUGUAACAGAGGUUAUUUGGCUCGGAUAAACCAGUGGUUCACCACCAAGUAAUGUACUCCAUGCUCUGCCCUCUACCUCCUCAUGAGUCUUUGACCAGUAAGCCUGUGGUCUCAUGAGUCUCCUCAAGUAGCCCCUGUGGAUUGGCCAAUUACCCCAAAGGGUUCUAGUACCACUGGUUGUGAACCACUGGGGUUACUAUGCUUGAAUGGUGAAUAACUUUGCCUGAGAUCUGAAGACUCGCGUUAGCACCCUAGGGUAAUGCCUUGGCUUUAACUCAGCGGGCUAACACAGUCUAUGAAGGCGCUCAAUGGCCUGGGUAUGUGGGUUUGAAUACCUGGUUGAUCAUUCUCACCCCUAUGUUUUGGGUAUUGGUUGGUUCGUUCUGUGAUGACAGGCUUGGGGCUUAAAUAUCAACACAUUCCCUAUAUAGGGCCAUACUUUUCCCCCCCAGUUAAAAGUAAGGGCUUACUACUUAGUCAUAGGACCCAGUCAAAAGUAGGAUACUAUAUAGGGAAUAGGGUGCCAUUUAUGGACGCACUCAAAUACUGUCUCACACAUAUUGAUGAUAUUGUCGCUUAUAUCCUGUUGGGUGAAGCUUUGUGCCUUACUCUGAGACCACAGUGUGGUCUGACCUUAUUAAAGAUGUCUCUGUGUAGCUGGGACCUCAGUGUGGUCUGACCUUAUUAAAGAUGUCUCUGUGUAGCUGGGACCUCAGUGUGGUCUGACCUUAUUAAAGAUGUCUCUGUGUAGCUGGGACCUCAGUGUGGUCUGACCUUAUUAAAGAUGUCUCUGUGUAGCUGGGACCUCAGUGUGGUCUGACCUUAUUAAAGAUGUCUCUUUCUACUGCUCAGGUACCGGUAAUAGACCUCAGCCCAUUCAGUUCUAGCCAAUGAUAUAGCGUCAACGCCAAACAAACUAAUAUUUAGCCCCAACUACCCUCCCCCCUAGGUCCUAGGCAAAUGUAGUAGAUCUGAAAGUGUUGGAUAGACGCGAGUAGCAACGCAACAUGGUAAAUAACACCUCCACCUUGUCCUCUGAUGAGGCUAGGUGUCACCAUGUUUAUACCUAUCCAAUCCUUACAGAUUUACCAAGUGCCCAGAGCUAGGUGCUAAGUGGAAGAGAUGAAUAAUAUCAGUUGGCUGCUCAGUUCAACUCAGUACUUUUGCCAUCCAGGAGUAUAAAAAGUUACCAAUUCUGUUUCAAGAGACAAUUGGAACGUCCAUUUAUUUCCAGGAUUGACUGAAUUGAAAUGGAACCGAGCCCAACCAUGAAAGAUUGACUGAAUUGAAAUGGAACCGAGCCCAACCAUGAAAGAUUGACUGAAUUGAAAUGGAACCGAGCCCAACCAUGAAAGAUUGACUGAAUUGAAAUGGAACUGAGCCCAACCAUGAAAGAUUGACUGAAUUGAAAUGGAAUUGAGCCCAACCAUGAAAGAUUGACUGAAUUGAAAUGGAACUGAGCCCAACCAUGAAAGAUUGACUGAAUUGAAAUGGAACUGAGCCCAACCAUGAAAGAUUAACUGAAUUGAAAUGGAACCGAGCCCAACCAUGAAAGAAUGACUGAAUUGAAAUGGAACCGAGCCCAACCAUGAAAGAAUGACUGAAUUGAAAUGGGACCGAGCCCAACCAUGAAAGAAUGACUGAAUUGAAAUGGAACUGAGCCCAACCAUGAAAGUAACCUUGCUCUGUGAUGAGGGAUGACAUAUGAUUACUUCAAGGAAACGUGUUUUAUAUUACAAAAUACAUGUGAGGGUUGAUUCACUUGCUUUGGGUUCUUACUUUUUCCCUAUAUGGUACUAGUAAUAAUAUAGGAUGUUGAGUGUGUUUAUAAUGGGAGUGGAUACCUAUGUGUGACUGUUACUGCUUGUUGCUCAGGGGGUAGAAUGUAUGAAGCAAUAUCAUUCGAAACAUUUCUAGCUUUAAAACAAAACAAAAAAAACUCAGUGUGCAUGGGGGUGUGUCUUGGUUCUGUGAAUCAGGAAGUCACAGAGAUGGACACCCAAUGAGAUGUCAUGUUGCUUUUGUGUAGCCACUCGCAAGCUUCUGUACCAAAAUUGACACAUUUGAGUUUUUCCCAUGAAAUAUGUGUUUCAUCCUGGGAUGCCUCUUCCUGUAUCUAAUACGUCAUGUUGGGUUAAAUGUGUCUGACCCAACUGUCCUCAAUAAAACUGACUUGGUGAAAGAUGUAUUUUUAUUUUUUAUUUUUUGCUGUUGUGAACAAAAUCCACAGACAAGAACACACGAUUGGUGAUUUGAAAAUAGUUUAUAGCAUUUAAAAUAUAUAUUUAGGUGUUUUCACAAACAAUUCAGCCUAAUAACCCUUGACACUGAAUGGUACUGAAAGCCAUGUAGACUAUUGUAGCCUGGGUACCAGUCUG
ensembl:lncRNA